GACAGAGGGUGCAAACGUUGCUCGGAAUUAUUGGGCGUAAAGCGCGCGUAGGCGGUUACUCAAGUCGGAUGUGAAAGCCCUCGGCUUAACUGAGGAAGUGCACCCGAAACUGAGUAGCUAGAGUACUAAAGAGGGUCGCGGAAUUCCCGGUGUAGAGGUGAAAUUCGUAGAUAUCGGGAGGAACACCGUGGCGAAGGCGGCUCACUGGACCGGUUCUGACGCUGAGGCGCGAAAGCGUGGGGAGCAAACGGG
rnacentral:rRNA from 1 species